rnacentral:other from 1 species
GGUCAUCUGCUGCGUGCGACUGGGGCGUAAAUCCCGCUGACCGUAACUCUCCACGAGGGAACUGCCUCUGUUUGGGACCGUGGUCCCUGAUAAGCGGUGCCCACCUGAUUAGUCGGGUCUGUGGGGAUUCACACGCGCUGACGGCGCAAGUGGAGCCGC